AAGGAUUUAAGUUAAAAAUAAACUAAUAGCCUUCAAAGCUGUAAAUAGAUUAUUAGUCUAAGCCUUA
rnacentral:tRNA from 1 species